rnacentral:rRNA from 1 species
GUGGGGAAUCUUAGACAAUGGGCGCAAGCCUGAUCUAGCCAUGCCGCGUGAUCGAUGAAGGCCUUAGGGUUGUAAAGAUCUUUCAGUGGGGAAGAUAAUGACUGUACCCACAGAAGAAGCCCCGGCUAACUCCGUGCCAGCAGCCGCGGUAAUACGGAGGGGGCUAGCGUUGUUCGGAAUUACUGGGCGUAAAGCGCACGUAGGCGGAUCAGAAAGUCAGAGGUGAAAUCCCAGGGCUCAACCUUGGAACUGCCUUCAAAACUCCUGGUCUGGAGUUCGAGAGAGGUGAGUGGAAUUCCGAGUGUAGAGGUGAAAUUCGUAGAUAUUCGGAGGAACACCAGUGGCGAAGGCGGCUCACUGGCUCGAUACUGACGCUGAGGUGCGAAAGCGUGGGGAGCAAACAGGAUUAGAUACCCGAGUAGUCC